CAGACUCCAAUGAGAAACUGCAGAAUUGGAAUUAAUUUGCAAACUGGACACCAUUAAAUUCGGCUUGAAUAAAGACUGGGAGUGGAUGGGUCAUUACACAAAGUAAAACUGUUUCCCCAUGCUAAUUUUUUUCCCCUUACUGUUACUCUCAUCUUCUUGUCUACUGUUUGAAAUGGGCCAUCCUGAUUAUCACUACAAAAGGUUUUUUUUUCUCCUGCUGAUAAUAGCCCACCUUAAUUAAUUGAACAAUCUCAUUAUAG